UACGAAGGGGGCUAGCGUUGUUCGGAAUUACUGGGCGUAAAGGGCGCGUAGGCGGUUUGUCAAGUCAGGCGUGAAAGCCCCGGGCUCAACCUGGGAACAGCGCUUGAGACUGGCACGCUCGAGUUCGGGAGAGGAUGGUGGAAUUCCCAGUGUAGAGGUGAAAUUCGUAGAUAUUGGGAAGAACACCGAUGGCGAAGGCAGCCAUCUGGACCGACACUGACGCUGAGGCGCGAAAGCGUGGGGAGCAAACAGG
rnacentral:rRNA from 1 species